rnacentral:tRNA from 2 species
GCGAGAGUAGCUCAGUUGGUAGAGCAUCAGCCUUCCAAGCUGAGGGUCGCGAGUUCGAACCUCGUCUCUCGCU